UCACGCCAGGGGUAAACAGGGAUUGUGGGAUGAGGUACAUUAGAAAUGAUUCAACAAUAAUACAGUAGUUGGUGAUUGUAACUCUCCACCUGUUGACUGGAACAAUUGGCCAGAGAAGAGACUUCUCGAUGUAAGGGGACACUGUUUGGUGACUCAAAAUGUAUAGAAACCAAGUAAAUUACUAGGUGGCACAUUUUUAAGACCAAGUGGAUCCCGUAGAUCUCCACCCAAAAACAGGAUGGCAGGAGAAAACAACCUAGCAAGAGUGGAAGGAGCCUCAUACAAUAUUGAAAGAAGAAACCUGCGACUAUGCUGGAUUGGCACAGAUAUUUUCCACUGCUAUCAAUACCGAAGGAAGUUCACAUCAUAAGGAUCAGCAAGGUUUGUAAGCAAACAUGAGCAACCACAUUGCUAUUGAGCAAUGCACUCAUGAUGCAUCU